ACGGCUCAAAUUUCAAAAGUACUUCAAUACGUUGCUUAAGUGCUUGACGGCCACUGGGAGGAGGCUGCUGCCAUUCCACCUGGUCCAAGUUUGACCCUGCCGGUGCCUGACGACCACCGGAGGGAAGGAGAACACCAACACAGGCUCCGCCCAAGGCCCCUGACUGCAGUUGCCAUUCCCCCACCUGACUCCCUGCCGGUGCUUGACGACCACCGGGGGGAGGGAACUCCUUUGGCAAUGCCCUCGCCAGAGGCCACGUGAUGCUGCAGGCCUGCUUCCCCCAUCUGACUCCCUGCCGGUGCUUGACGACCACCGGGGGGAAGUAAGACCUCUGUAACGGCCCCACUGCAGCCAAGAACCUGUUGACGACCUCAUGAGGCAGCCGGCCUCUCUCCAGUCCUAAGUCCCUCCCUGCCGGUGCCUGACAACCACCGGAGGGAUGGCAGGCAGCGGUGACGCUCAAGCCAAUAGGUUGGAACAAACUUGGCAGAGUUCCUGUC